AGAACUGAAACAUCUAAGUACCCUGAGGAAAAGAAAUCAACCGAGAUUCCCUAAGUAGCGGCGAGCGAACGGGGACUAGCCCUUAAGCUAGACAACUGGUAGGAGAAGGCUCUGGAAAGUGCCGCCAUAGUGGGUGAUAGCCCUGUAUCCGAAACCUGAGUCUAGUGAAAUCGAGUAGGACGGGGCACGAGAAACCUUGUCUGAACAUGGGGGGACCAUCCUCCAAGGCU
rnacentral:rRNA from 1 species